GCAGGUCGAACGGAAUUUUUAAUUUCGUGGCGAACGGGUGAGUAAUCGCAGAAUUUUACCUUUUAGUCCAAAAUAAAAAUUUUUAUAAAAAAUUAAAUGUUGGAUAAUUUUAAAAGGUUAUUUUUUUCCGCUAAAAGAUAAAUCUGCUUAAGAUUAGGUUGUUGGUAAUUUAAAAGCUUACCAAGCCUAUGAUCUUUAGUUGGUCUGAGAGGAUGAUCAACCACACUAGAACUGAAAUAAGGUCUAGGCUGACUUGUCGGCCAGCAGUGAGGAAUAUUGGACAAUGGACGAAAGUCUGAUCCAGCAAUACUAACUGGGUGAUGACGGCUUAUAUAAGUUGUAAAGCCCUUUCAUUAAAGAAGAUAGUGACAUUAUUUAAUGUAAUUUAGUCCUGGCUAAUACUCGUGCCAGCAGCCGCGGUAAUACGGGAAGGGCAAGCGUUAUUCGGCAUGACUGGGCGUAAAGAGUCCGUAGAUGGUAAAGUAAGUCUUUUGUUAAAUUUUAAGACUUAAUCUUAACACAGCAAUAAAUACUGCUUUACUAUAGAGUUUAAUAGAGAAAAGUAGAAUUUUAUACGAUUAGGGGUGAAAUCCGUAGAUAUAUAAAGGAAUGCCAACAGCGAAGGCAACUUUUUACUAUAAACUGACAUUGAGGGACGAAAGUGUGGGUAGCAAACAGGAUUAGAGACCCUGGUAGUCCACACUGUAAAUUCUGAGUGCUGUAAUUUAAUUAUAAUAUGAUUGCAUAUUAUUUAGAUUUUCAAGCUAACGCAAUAAGCACUCCGCCUGA
rnacentral:rRNA from 1 species